AUUUUCUUCACUUAAAAAUGUUUUUUUUUUAAUAUUUUUAAAUUUUAUUAGUAGCAUUAUAUGUAAUUCAAAUUUUGAAUUCAAAUUUUAAAAUUUUCAUAUUUUAAUAACGGACACGUAGUAUAAAAUUAGAAGUAUAGACACUUUCCUUUUUCAAUAUCUAUUUCCAUUUAAAAUGUAAUGUAUUUCUAAAAUAAGUUCUGAAAAAAUUGGAGGAAGAAAGAUGCAGCAUACUCUCUAGUGACUAGUCUCCCAAUUCUCGUCUUCAUGUCCCCAACAGUUUCCAUGUUGCCACUAUAACUCUGUAACUGAGAUAAUUUCAAACUCAAAUGUCGUCUUAUGCUUUCAAAUAGUCAUGGUUCAAAAGAUAUUUGACUUUAUUUUUUGGUUGUUUACAAUUUUUCUUCCUUGCCAAACAGGGAAUAGCAGCAGGUCCAUAUAAUUUCUGGGUUUUCCUAAAUCAGAAAUGGUAUGCAGCUCAGUUUACUGAGAUUUUAGGGUUAUUGUUUGGUACUGAUUCUUUCUUCUUGUGUUGCUUUAAGAAUUAUGACCCUGUUUUUUAAUUUUUCUGGUUUUGGUCUCAGCUUCCUCUUUCCUUACUUCAGAGCGCGCAAGGGCAUCCUAUGCUCGUGGGGCUGGAAAAUGGGGAGACUUGCAAUGGCCAUUUGAUGAAAUGUGACACAUAGAUGAAUAUCCAUCUUGGAAAAGUAUAUAUACAUCAAAGGUUUUGGAGCACGCCAGAGUGUCUCGUACAUGGGAAUACAAUUAAGUGUCGAGUCCAGAAACGACUCCAGAGAUGAGCUUGUGCAGCUGAACAAUGGGGAGACUUACAAUGGGCAUUUGGUGGAUUGCAAUUCAAGGACGAAUAUCCAUCGUGUAGAAGUCAUAUGUACCUCAAAGGAUGGUUAAGAUGAUGUUCGAUGGAGAUAGGUUUUGGUGAUGCCAGAAUGUCAUUCGUUGGAAUACAAUUGUCUGAGAGUCCAGAUAUGAGGUUUGUUGCAUCUUGGAGGAACCAACUAUCAUCACACGAGUUUUACCUGCACUGAAGACUGAUACUAGCAGCAGUAGCAAUUCCAACAACACGACUAUGCAUGCAUGCAUGCUUUACCAGUUGCCCCUUACCUUCGGCUAGAAAGCUUGGAAAAAAUCAGCACGGUGAUUUUUAAAAAUGCUAAUAUUAAUGUUAUAUGUUUUUAGUAUCAAUGACCCUUCAAUUAUCAACUUCUUCAAACUUCAGAUGGCCAAGACCAUAGUCAUAUUGUCUCCACCUCCUGCUGUAGGCUUUUGAAGCAAUACAACAUUUUUAUAAUUGCGGUGCUACUCUGCCGCUUGAGUAGUACGCGGCAGAGUAGCACCG